rnacentral:tRNA from 1 species
GGAGAGAUGUCCGAGCGGUUGAAGGAGGCGGUCUUGAAAACCGUUGUGCUGAAAAGCACCGGGGGUUCGAAUCCCUCUCUCUCCG